UACCAGCUCUUCGAGUGGUGUGGAUGUUUAUUGGGCCUAAAGCAUCCGUAGCUGGCUGGACAAGUCCCCUGUUAAAUCCACCGAUUCAAUCGUUGGAGUGCGGGGGAUACUGUUCGGCUAGGGGGACGGGAGAGGCAGACGGUAUUUUCGGGGUAGGGGUGAAAUCCUAUAAUCCCGGGAAGACCACCAGUGGCGAAGGCUGUCUGCUAGAACGCGCCCGACGGUGAGGGAGGAAAGCUGGGGGAGCGAACCGGAUUAGAUACCCGGGUAGUCCCAGCUGUAAACGAUGCAGGCUAGGUGUUUGGGCGGCCACGUGCCGCUCUAGUGCCGCAGGGAAGCCGUUAAGCCUGCCGCCUGGGGAGUACGGCCGCAAGGCUGAAACUUAAAGGAAUUGGCGGGGAGCACCACAAGGGGUGAAGCUUGCGGUUU
rnacentral:rRNA from 1 species